GGAGUUAGCCGGUGCUUCUUCUGCGAAGUAACGUCACAGAUGGUAAGGUAUUAACUUACACCCUUUCCUCCUCGCUGAAAGUGCUUUACAACCCGAAGGCCUUCUUCACACACGCGGCAUGGCUGCAUCAGGGUUUCCCCCAUUGUGCAAUAUUCCCCACUGCUGCCUCCCGUAGGAGUCUGGGCCGUGUCUCAGUCCCAGUGUGGCUGAUCAUCCUCUCAGACCAGCUAGGGAUCGUCGCCUAGGUGAGCCUUUACCUCACCUACUAGCUAAUCCCACCUGGGCUUAUCCAUCAGCGCAAGGCCCGAAGGUCCCCUGCUUUCCCCCGUAGGGCGUAUGCGGUAUUAGCAGUCGUUUCCAACUGUUAUCCCCCACAAAUGGGCAAAUUCCCAGGCAUUACUCACCCGUCCGCCGCUCGUCAUCUUCAAAAGCAAGCUUUUGAAAUGUUACCGCUCGACUUGCAUGUGUUAGGCCUGCCGCCAGCGUUCAAUCUGAGCCAGGAUCAAACUCUGA
rnacentral:rRNA from 1 species